rnacentral:rRNA from 1 species
CAGGCCUAACACAUGCAAGUUCGAACGGGAAAAUCCCCGCAAGGGGAUGAGUAUAGUGGCGACCGGGUGAGUAACACGUGACUACCUGCCCUUGAGUGGGGGAUAACAUCGGGAAACCGAUGCUAAUACCGCAUAACAUCGCAAGAUCAAAGCAGCAAUGCGCUUAAAGAGGGGGUCGCGGCUGAUUAGCUAGUUGGCGGGGUAACGGCCCACCAAGGCGAAGAUCGGUAUCCGGCCUGAGAGGGCGCACGGACACACUGGAACUGAAACACGGUCCAGACUCCUACGGGAGGCAGCAGUGGGGAAUUUUGCGCAAUGGGGGAAACCCUGACGCAGCAACGCCGCGUGGAGGAUGAAGUCCCUUGGGACGUAAACUCCUUUCGACCAAGACGAUAAUGACGGUACUGGUGGAAGAAGCACCGGCUAACUCUGUGCCAGCAGCCGCGGUAAUACA